GUGCUCACUUCGGCAGCACAUACGCUAAAGUUGGAAUAGCACAGAGAUGAGCACGGCUCCUGCACAAGGAUGACAUGCAACUUUGCGAAGCAGAAAGAAAACAG